GGGAUAACAUGUUGAACGGACGAUACUAGAGUGCUUGCACUUUUAUAAAGUUAGUAGCGGCCGGGUGAGUAACGCGUGAGCAAUCUGCCCUGCAAUGGGGGACAACAGUUGGAAACGACUGCUAAUACCGCAUGAGACCACACUACCGCAUGGUAGAGAGGUAAAAGGAUUUAUUCGAUGCAGGAUGAGCUCGCGUCCCACUAUAUAGUUGGUGAGGUAACGGCCCACCAAGUCAACGAUGGGUAGCCGACCUGAGAGGGUGAUCGGCCACACUGGAACUGAGACACGGUCCAGACUCCUACGGGAGGCAGCAGUGGGGAAUAUUGGGCAAUGGGCGAAAGCCUGACCCAGCAACGCCGCGUGAGGGAAGAAGGUCUUCGGAUUGUAAACCUUUGUCCUUGGGGACGAAACAAAUGACGGUACCCAAGGAGGAAGCUCCGGCUAACUACGUGCCAGCAGCCGCGGUAAUACGUAGGGAGCAAGCGUUGUCCGGAAUUACUGGGCGUAAAGGGUGCGUAGGUGGCCAUGUAAGUCAGGUGCGAAAGACCGGGGCUCAACCCCGGGGCGGCACUUGAAACUGUGUGGCUUGAGUACAGGAGAGGGAAGUGGAAUUCCUAGUGUAGCGGUGAAAUGCGUAGAUAUUAGGAGGAACACCAGUGGCGAAGGCGACUUU
rnacentral:rRNA from 1 species